GGUUAAGCGACUAAGCGUACACGGUGGAUGCCCUGGCAGUCAGAGGCGAUGAAGGACGUGCUAAUCUGCGAAAAGCGCCGGCGAGGUGAUAUGAACCCUUGACCCGGCGAUGUCCGAAUGGGGAAACCCAGUGUGUUCCGACACACUAUCGUUAACUGAAUACAUAGGUUAACGAGGCGAACCGGGGGAACUGAAACAUCUAAGUACCCCGAGGAAAAGAAAUCAACCGAGAUUCCCCCAGUAGCGGCGAGCGAACGGGGAGCAGCCCGGAGUCUGAAUCAGCUUGUGUGUUAGUGGAACGGUCUGGAAAGUCCGACGGUACAGGGUGAUAGUCCCGUACACGAAAAUGCACAGGUUGUGAACUCGAAGAGUAGGGCGGGACACGUGGUAUCCUGUCUGAAUAUGGGGGGACCAUCCUCCAAGGCUAAAUACUCCUGACUGACCGAUAGUGAACCAGUACCGUGAGGGAAAGGCGAAAAGAACCCCGGCGAGGGGAGUGAAAAAGAACCUGAAACCGUGUACGUACAAGCAGUGGGAGCACCUUCGGGUGUGACUGCGUACCUUUUGUAUAAUGGGUCAGCGACUUAUAUUCUGUAGCAAGGUUAACCGUAUAGGGGAGCCGAAGGGAAACCGAGUCUUAACUGGGCGUUAAGUUGCAGGGUAUAGACCCGAAACCCGGUGAUCUAGCCAUGGGCAGGUUGAAGGUUGGGUAACACUAACUGGAGGACCGAACCGACUAAUGUUGAAAAAUUAGCGGAUGACCUGUGGCUGGGGGUGAAAGGCCAAUCAAACCGGGAGAUAGCUGGUUCUCCCCGAAAGCUAUUUAGGUAGCGCCUCGUGAACUCAUCUUCGGGGGUAGAGCACUGUUUCGGCUAGGGGGCCAUCCCGGCUUACCAACCCGAUGCAAACUACGAAUACCGAAGAAUGUUAUCACGGGAGACACACGGCGGGUGCUAACGUCCGUCGUGAAGAGGGAAACAACCCAGACCGCCAGCUAAGGUCCCAAAGUCAUGGUUAAGUGGGAAACGAUGUGGGAAGGCACAGACAGCCAGGAUGUUGGCUUAGAAGCAGCCAUCAUUUAAAGAAAGCGUAAUAGCUCACUGGUCGAGUCGGCCUGCGCGGAAGAUGUAACGGGGCUAAACCAUGCACCGAAGCUGCGGCAGCGACACUAUGUGUUGUUGGGUAGGGGAGCGUUCUGUAAGCCGUUGAAGGUGUGCUGUGAGGCAUGCUGGAGGUAUCAGAAGUGCGAAUGCUGACAUAAGUAACGAUAAAGCGGGUGAAAAGCCCGCUCGCCGGAAGACCAAGGGUUCCUGUCCAACGUUAAUCGGGGCAGGGUGAGUCGACCCCUAAGGCGAGGCCGAAAGGCGUAGUCGAUGGGAAACAGGUUAAUAUUCCUGUACUUGGUGUUACUGCGAAGGGGGGACGGAGAAGGCUAUGUCAGCCGGGCGACGGUUGUCCCGGUUUAAGCAUGUAGGCGGAGGUUCCAGGUAAAUCCGGUACCUUGUUAACGCUGAGGUGUGAUGACGAGGCACUACGGUGCUGAAGUGAUAAAUGCCCUGCUUCCAGGAAAAGCCUCUAAGCAUCAGGUAACACGAAAUCGUACCCCAAACCGACACAGGUGGUCAGGUAGAGAAUACCAAGGCGCUUGAGAGAACUCGGGUGAAGGAACUAGGCAAAAUGGUGCCGUAACUUCGGGAGAAGGCACGCUGAUAUGUAGGUGAAGUCCCUGCGGACGGAGCUGAAAUCAGUCGAAGAUACCAGCUGGCUGCAACUGUUUAUUAAAAACACAGCACUGUGCAAACACGAAAGUGGACGUAUACGGUGUGACGCCUGCCCGGUGCCGGAAGGUUAAUUGAUGGGGUUAGCGGCAACGCGAAGCUCUUGAUCGAAGCCCCGGUAAACGGCGGCCGUAACUAUAACGGUCCUAAGGUAGCGAAAUUCCUUGUCGGGUAAGUUCCGACCUGCACGAAUGGCGUAAUGAUGGCCAGGCUGUCUCCACCCGAGACUCAGUGAAAUUGAACUCGCUGUGAAGAUGCAGUGUACCCGCGGCAAGACGGAAAGACCCCGUGAACCUUUACUAUAGCUUGACACUGAACACUGGUCCUUGAUGUGUAGGAUAGGUGGGAGGCUUUGAAGCGUGGACGCCAGUCUGCGUGGAGCCAUCCUUGAAAUACCACCCUUUAAUGGCUGGUGUUCUAACGUAGACCCGUGAUCCGGGUUGCGGACAGUGUCUGGUGGGUAGUUUGACUGGGGCGGUCUCCUCCCAAAGAGUAACGGAGGAGCACGAAGGUUGGCUAAUCCUGGUCGGACAUCAGGAGGUUAGUGCAAUGGCAUAAGCCAGCUUGACUGCGAGCGUGACGGCGCGAGCAGGUGCGAAAGCAGGUCAUAGUGAUCCGGUGGUUCUGAAUGGAAGGGCCAUCGCUCAACGGAUAAAAGGUACUCCGGGGAUAACAGGCUGAUACCGCCCAAGAGUUCAUAUCGACGGCGGUGUUUGGCACCUCGAUGUCGGCUCAUCACAUCCUGGGGCUGAAGUAGGUCCCAAGGGUAUGGCUGUUCGCCAUUUAAAGUGGUACGCGAGCUGGGUUUAGAACGUCGUGAGACAGUUCGGUCCCUAUCUGCCGUGGGCGCUGGAGAAUUGAGGGGGGCUGCUCCUAGUACGAGAGGACCGGAGUGGACGCAUCACUGGUGUUCGGGUUGUCAUGCCAAUGGCACUGCCCGGUAGCUAAAUGCGGAAGAGAUAAGUGCUGAAAGCAUCUAAGCACGAAACUUGCCCCGAGAUGAGUUCUCCCUGAGACCUUGAGUCUCCUGAAGGAACGUUGAAGACGACGACGUUGAUAGGUCGGGUGUGUAAGCGCAGCGAUGCGUUGAGCUAACCGAUACUAAUGAACCGUGAGGCUUAACCUU
rnacentral:rRNA from 1 species